rnacentral:SRP_RNA from 1 species
ACUGGGCAUGGUGGCACGUGCCUGUAGUCCCAGCUACUCGGGAGGCUGAGGUGGGAGGAUCGCUUGAGCCCAGGAAUUCUGGGCUGCAGUGCACUAUGUCGAUCGGGUGUCCACACUAAGUUCGACAUCAAUAUGGUGACCUCCUGGGAGAGGGGGACCACCAGGUUGCCUAAGGAGGGGUGAACUGGCCCAGGUUGGAAAUAGAGCAGGUCAAAACUCCCGUGCUGAUCAGUAGUGGGAUCGCGCCUGUGAAUAGCCACUGCACUCCAGCCUGGGCAACAUAGCGAGACCCCGUUUCU